rnacentral:rRNA from 1 species
UACGAAGGGGGCUAGCGUUGCUCGGAAUUACUGGGCGUAAAGAGCGCGUAGGCGGUUUAUUAAGUCGGGCGUGAAAUCCCAAGGCUCAACCUUGGAAUUGCGUUCGAUACUGGUAGACUAGAGUAUAGAAGAGGAUAGUGGAAUUCCUAGUGUAGAAGUGAAAUUCGUAGAUAUUAGGAGGAACAUCAGUGGCGAAGGCGACUAUCUGGUCUAUAACUGACGCUGAGGCGCGAAAGCGUGGGGAUCAAACAGG